UACGUAGGGGGCAAGCGUUGUCCGGAUUUAUUGGGCGUAAAGAGCGUGUAGGCGGCUUUACAGGUCCGUUGUGAAAACUCGAGGCUCAACCUCGAGACGCCGGUGGAAACCGUAAAGCUAGAGUCCGGAAGAGGAGAGUGGAAUUCCUGGUGUAGCGGUGAAAUGCGCAGAUAUCAGGAGGAACACCCGUGGCGAAAGCGGCUCUCUGGGCCGGUACUGACGCUGAGGAGCGAAAGCCAGGGAGCAAACGGG
rnacentral:rRNA from 1 species